GUGACUACUUCUGAGGAGAACAUGAGCAGUGAAGAUUCACCUUGGAGCUAGAACAGGGACGUGCACAUGAUUAUACAGGGGCAGGGGCUCAAGUUUUUUCCAGUCAUUUAUACAAUAUGGAAAUUAAUGUGAAAUUAAACCACAAAUAUGUGUGAUGAACUGUUUUUAAAACUUAAACUUCAAAUAAAAAUUGUAAACUUCAAAACAUAUGCAAAUUUUUAACAAAGAACAUAGUAAUUUACCUCUAUUUACAUCAAAAUGCAGGCAAUGGCCCAGGCGUUCUUUGUAAAAUUAUUUACAAAACACUGUAUAGUCUCACAAAUGUCACUUUUUAUUUAUGCCACUACAAAAAAACAUGAUGUAAAUGAUGCAUGAUGUAAAACAUGAUGUAAAAAACUUGUGUAGAUCCUCCUCUAUGUCAGUCCAUGUGUAAUUUUUCCAUAAUUCUUUGUUUUUUGCAGCAUUUUUGUUAGUGUAACUGCAGAUUGUGCUGACAGUGUCUAUGGCAAAAAAAAAAAAACUGAAAAUGCCUCAACAUGAACUCCUGGUGGUCUCUGAGGGUGAAACCUGCUAACUGUGCAGCUCUCUCAGCUCUGGUCUCCCAUGCAGAGCUCGGAGCGCAUGUGUGGCUCUGCACCCUUAGCAGCGUUGCUAACUCCUCAGUAAGGAAAGCCUGCUUCAUGUCAGAGUCUCUAAACUCCAGAGGAAGUCGAUAAAAUUCCCUUUCUUUCUAAAAAGUCGUUAGGGGGUCUGAAAAGUCAUUGAAUCUAACAACAAAGUCGCUAGGUUUGCAACUACGUUUCCCAGACUGCAUCCCUGCUGAGAGUUCCUCCCUCCCUUCUCAUAUUGCAGGAAGAACAUAAGCGCCCGCCCCUUGUCAAUCAGUCACCAUAUAAUUUUGGAUUGGUUGUUGUGGUGAAGUUUUCCACCAAUAGGAGAGAUGUUGUGGUGUGUUUUUUUUUCUUUUGGCAUGCCUUUUCCGCCUGUAAGAGCUGUCGCUAAUGUCUGCAUGCUAUGUUUUCCUGUCUCAUACAGCGUGAUCGAGCGCCGAACGUGAUCAAAAUAAGCAGAAAAAAAGUAUCACGGACAUAAUUUAUCAUAACUCUAGUUUUAUUUGGCCUAUCAACACAAUUUAAAAACUGGUAUAUAGUUUGAGGUCCUCACUUUUGAGAUAAGUUGAAACGGAGGGUGAACGAGGCUCCGUCUUGCAGCUACAUCCGGUUAAAUAUGUCAUGUGACUUGAACGCUGGGGAGCGUCAAUCGACUGCAGAGCCAGCAGACAAAGUAGUUAUGCCACUAAGAGGCACACAUUUGUCAUAUGCUAUAAUCCUAACAUAUUUUAAUGCUUUUUCUAUUUAAACCUAAUGGAUCUAAGGUUUGACCUUCAAAAUUUAGGAAGAAUAUUUUUUUGCAGUAAUGACCCCCUUAAACAACCAGAGGUCCUUUCCUAAAGUUUAUGGAAAUUUUAGUGAAGGCCUUGGUUUCUUUCCUUGCAAAAUGUAUAGAAAUAAUAAAGCUAAAUACCAUAAAAUGGUCUUGGCGUAUUAGCAGUGAUAUAAAAUAGUGGUUUGAAUAUGAAUGAACAACAAAAAAAAACAUCAACAGAGCCUUUUUGAGUUGGGAUUCUUUCAUUAUCACACAAAAACAGACAUAGACAGACAUCUAAAGGGUAAGGGAAUGAUCAGCCCUCCUAACUCUCAGAUGAAUCUUCAAAAUUCACCGCAGAAAUAUGCUUAUUAUUCUUCUCAGAGUACUGCAAGAUAUAUACAAACACACACAGACACAGACACACACACACACACACACACACACACACACACACACACACACACACACACACACACACACUCAGAGUCUGUUUUUUAGCACCUGCAAAAACAUGCUAUUUACAUAUUUGACAAGAAUGCAGAGGCUCCUUUUGCCCCUGAAAAAAAUCAAAUUUCAAACACAACUUGACUGCUCAUUUCUCCAAAAGACAACCAUGAAGCUCCAUCCAAACCUGAAGCAGGCAGUUGGUGCAUGUGUACAGUAACCUGAGGGGAGUGAGGUGACUGCUUCUGAGGAGAACAUGAGCAGUGAAGAUUCACCUUGGAGCUAGAACAGGGACGUGCACAUGAUUAUACAGGGGCAGGGGCUCAAGUUUUUUCCAGUCAUUUAUACAAUAUGGAAAUUAAUGUGAAAUUAAAAAACAAAGUAUUAAUAGAAAGGUAAUGACUGUCCUGUGUAGAUGACAGUGAUAUCCAAUAGGCUAGGCACUCACGAGGCUGGCUGUGGCAAGUGUAAGUGAAAGCAACACGCACUGGCAGGAAGAACAGCAAACGCCGAUGAAGGAAAAGGGUCUUUGCAGUGAUGGGCGUUACCAGAGAGGGCGAUGGCCAGAGGACACGAAUGGGACGGGGAGGCAGCGCGUUGGGGGGGGGGGGGGGCGCGACACGGCUCGGGCCCGCCAGUGC